UCCAAAGAUUUAAGCCGUCUUUGGUCUUGUGGUCUUCUUUUGGAUUUGCUUCCUUGUAAUUGAGUUCUUCAUUCAAAGCAAUGCACCAAAAAGUGCAAGGUAAAUAUAUCAAAAGAUAUGGGACUACCAAAUAUAAAUAGCAAGACCCCAAGAAUUUGAUACUACUGACCUGUUUGAUGAACUGAUGCAUCAGUUAAUGCUACAUGUCAUUCAUUGUCCGAGUCUAACAACCAUCGAUGGUAACAUGCUUCCUUCAAAGUAUUGUAAACUAUUUUAUCAACGAUUUGAAUUUGUUCGUAUGAUGUAGUAAAAGUAGCU
rnacentral:lncRNA from 1 species